AUUGAACGCUGGCGGCAGGCCUAACACAUGCAAGUCGAGCGAGUGGCGAACGGGUGCGUAAUGUAUCGGAACGUGCCCAGUAGCGGGGGAUAACUACGCGAAAGCGUAGCUAAUACCGCAUACUAUUGGAGCGUCCGCUAUCGGCUUAGCUAGUUGGUGGGGUAACGGCUCACCUCGGCGACGAUCCCUAGCUGGUCUGAGAGGAUGACCAGCCACACUGGAACUGAGACACGGUCCAGACUCCUACGGGAGGCAGCAGUGGGGAAUAUUGCACAAUGGGCGCAAGCCUGAUGCAGCCAUGCCGCGUGUGUGAAGAAGGCCUUCGGGUUGUAAAGCACUUUCAGCGGGGAGGCGUUACCCGCAGAAGAAGCACCGGCUAACUCCGUGCCAGCAGCCGCGGUAAUAC
rnacentral:rRNA from 1 species